AUAUCAAUAAGCGGAGGAAAAGAAACUAACAAGGAUUCCCCUAGUAACUGCGAGUGAAGCGGGAACAGCUCAAAUUUAAAAUCUGUCAGUCUUUGGCUGUCCGAGUUGUAAUCUAGAGAAGCGUUAUCCGCGCUGGACCGUGUACAAGUCUCCUGGAAUGGAGCGUCAUAGAAGGUGAGAAUCCCGUCUUUGACACGGACUGCCAGGGCUUUGUGAUGCGCUCUCAAAGAGUCGAGUUGUUUGGGAAUGCAGCUCAAAAUGGGUGGUAAAUUCCAUCUAAAGCUAAAUAUUGGCGAGAGACCGAUAGCGAACAAGUACCGUGAGGGAAAGAUGAAAAGAACUUUGGAAAGAGAGUUAAACAGUACGUGAAAUUGCUGAAAGGGAAACGCUUGAAGUCAGUCGCGUCGUCCAGGGAUCAACCUUGCUGUUGCUUGGUGUACUUUCUKGUCGACGGGUCAGCAUCAAUUUUGACUAUUGGAAAAAGAUYAGGGGAAUGUGGCAUYCUUYGGAUGUGUUAUAGCCUYUGGUUGCAUACAAUGGUUGGGAUUGAGGAACUCAGCACGCCGCAAGGCCGGGUKUYUMACCACGUACGUGCUUAGGAUGCUGGCAUAAUGGCUUUAAUCGACCCGUCUUGAAACACGGACCAAGGAGUCUAACAUGCCUGCGAGUGUUUGGGUGGAAAACCCGAGCGCGUAAUGAAAGUGAAAGUUGAGAUCCCUGUCGUGGGGAGCAUCGACGCCCGGACCAGACCUUYUGUGACGGYUCCGCGGUAGAGCAUGUAUGUUGGGACCCGAAAGAUGGUGAACUAUGCCUGAAUAGGGUGAAGCCAGAGGAAACUCUGGUGGAGGCUCGUAGCGAUUCUGACGUGCAAAUCGAUCGUCAAAUUUGGGUAUAGGGGCGAAAGACUAAUCGAACCAUCUAGUAGCUGGUUCCUG
rnacentral:rRNA from 1 species